rnacentral:rRNA from 1 species
UUUUAUGGAGAGUUUGAUCCUGGCUCAGAGUGAACGCUGGCGGCGUGCCUAAUACAUGCAAGUCGAACGAUGAAGCUUCUAGCUUGCUAGAAUGCUGAUUAGUGGCGCACGGGUGAGUAACGCAUAGGUUAUGUGCCUCUUAGUUUGGGAUAGCCAUUGGAAACGAUGAUUAAUACCAGAUACUCCCUACGGGGGAAAGAUUUAUCGCUAAGAGAUCAGCCUAUGUCCUAUCAGCUUGUUGGUAAGGUAAUGGCUUACCAAGGCUAUGACGGGUAUCCGGCCUGAGAGGGUGAACGGACACACUGGAACUGAGACACGGUCCAGACUCCUACGGGAGGCAGCAGUAGGGAAUAUUGCUCAAUGGGGGAAACCCUGAAGCAGCAACGCCGCGUGGAGGAUGAAGGUUUUAGGAUUGUAAACUCCUUUUGUUAGAGAAGAUAAUGACGGUAUCUAACGAAUAAGCACCGGCUAACUCCGUGCCAGCAGCCGCGGUAAUACGGAGGGUGCAAGCGUUACUCGGAAUCACUGGGCGUAAAGAGCGCGUAGGCGGGAUAGUCAGUCAGGUGUGAAAUCCUAUGGCUUAACCAUAGAACUGCAUUUGAAACUACUAUUCUAGAGUGUGGGAGAGGUAGGUGGAAUUCUUGGUGUAGGGGUAAAAUCCGUAGAGAUCAAGAGGAAUACUCAUUGCGAAGGCGACCUGCUGGAACAUUACUGACGCUGAUUGCGCGAAAGCGUGGGGAGCAAACAGGAUUAGAUACCCUGGUAGUCCACGCCCUAAACGAUGGAUGCUAGUUGUUGGAGGGCUUAGUCUCUCCAGUAAUGCAGCUAACGCAUUAAGCAUCCCGCCUGGGGAGUACGGUCGCAAGAUUAAAACUCAAAGGAAUAGACGGGGACCCGCACAAGCGGUGGAGCAUGUGGUUUAAUUCGAGGAUACACGAAGAACCUUACCUAGGCUUGACAUUGAGAGAAUCCGCUAGAAAUAGUGGAGUGUCUGGCUUGCCAGACCUUGAAAACAGGUGCUGCACGGCUGUCGUCAGCUCGUGUCGUGAGAUGUUGGGUUAAGUCCCGCAACGAGCGCAACCCCCUUUCUUAGUUGCUAACAGGUCAUGCUGAGAACUCUAAGGAUACUGCCUCCGUAAGGAGGAGGAAGGUGGGGACGACGUCAAGUCAUCAUGGCCCUUACGCCUAGGGCUACACACGUGCUACAAUGGGGUGCACAAAGAGAAGCAAUACUGCGAAGUGGAGCCAAUCUUCAAAACACCUCUCAGUUCGGAUUGUAGGCUGCAACUCGCCUGCAUGAAGCUGGAAUCGCUAGUAAUCGCAAAUCAGCCAUGUUGCGGUGAAUACGUUCCCGGGUCUUGUACUCACCGCCCGUCACACCAUGGGAGUUGUGUUUGCCUUAAGUCAGGAUGCUAAAUUAGCUACUGCCCACGGCACACACAGCGACUGGGGUGAAGUCGUAACAAGGUAACCGUAGGUGAACCUGCGGUUGGAUCACCUCCUUUCUAGA